GCCCGGUUAGCUCAAUCGGUAGAGCGUGAGACUCUUAAUCUCAAGGUUGCGGGUGAGUAAUGGAAAAUAAAAUAAACGAGCAGAAAAAAAAAUACUAACCCUAACAGGUUCGACCCCCGCAUCGGGCU